rnacentral:rRNA from 1 species
CCUACGGGUGGCAGCAGAGGGGAAUAUUGGACAAUGGGGGCAACCCUGAUCCAGCCAUGCCGCGUGUGUGAAGAAGGCCCUCGGGUUGUAAAGCACUUUCAGUGAGGAAGAACGCCUGGUGGUUAAUACCCAUCAGGAAAGACAUCACUCACAGAAGAAGCACCGGCUAACUCCGGGCCAGCAGCCGCGGUAAUACGGCGGGGGCGAGCGUUAAUCGGAAUUACUGGGCGUAAAGCGCGCGUAGGUGGCUUGAUAAGCCGGUUGUGAAAGCCCCGGGCUCAACCUGGGAACGGCAUCCGGAACUGUCAAGCUAGAGUGCAGGAGAGGAAGGUAGAAUUCCCGGUGUAGCGGUGAAAUGCGUAGAGAUCGGGAGGAAUACCAGUGGCGAAGGCGGCCUUCUGGACUGACACUGACACUGAGGUGCGAAAGCGUGGGUAGCAAACAGGAUUAGAUACCCUAGUAGUC